AUUGAACGCUGGCGGCAUGCUUUACACAUGCAAGUCGAACGGCAGCGCGGGCUUCGGCCUGGCGGCGAGUGGCGAACGGGUGAGUAAUACAUCGGAACGUGCCCAGUAGUGGGGGAUAGCUCGGCGAAAGCCGGAUUAAUACCGCAUACGAACUGAGGGUGAAAGCGGGGGAUCUUCGGACCUCGCGCUAUUGGAGCGGCCGAUGGCAGAUUAGCUAGUUGGUGGGGUAAAGGCCUACCAAGGCGACGAUCUGUAGCUGGUCUGAGAGGACGACCAGCCACACUGGGACUGAGACACGGCCCAGACUCCUACGGGAGGCAGCAGUGGGGAAUUUUGGACAAUGGGCGAAAGCCUGAUCCAGCAAUGCCGCGUGUGUGAUGAAGGCCUUCGGGUUGUAAAGCACUUUUGGCGGGAACGAAAAGGACUGUGCCAAUACCACGGUUCGAUGACGGUACCCGCAGAAUAAGCACCGGCUAACUACGUG
rnacentral:rRNA from 1 species